UACGUAGGGUGCGAGCGUUGUCCGGAAUUAUUGAGCGUAAAGAGCUCGUAGGCGGUGUGUCACGUCGGCCGUGAAAACCUGCAGCUUAACUGUGGGCGUGCGGUCGAUACGGGCAUCACUGGAGUUCGGCAGGGGAGACUGGAAUUCCUGGUGUAGCGGUGAAAUGCGCAGAUAUCAGGAGGAACACCGGUGGCGAAGGCGGGUCUCUGGGCCGAUACUGACGCUGAGGAGCGAAAGCGUGGGGAGCAAACAGG
rnacentral:rRNA from 1 species